UGGUGGGGUGACCUGUCUGCUUAAUUGCGAUAACGAACGAGACCUUAACCUGCUAAAUAGCCAGGCCGGCUUUGGCCGGUCGUCGGCUUCUUAGAGGGACUUUCGGCUCAAGCCGAAGGAAGUUUGAGGCAAUAACA
rnacentral:rRNA from 1 species